rnacentral:rRNA from 1 species
CGCGUAGGCGGUUUUUUAAGUCGGAUGUGAAAGCCCCGGGCUCAACCUGGGAACUGCAUUCGAUACUGGGAGACUUGAGUACGAGAGAGGGAGGUAGAAUUCCACGUGUAGCGGUGAAAUGCGUAGAUAUGUGGAGGAAUACCAGUGGCGAAGGCGGCCUCCUGGCUCGAUACUGACGCUGAGGUGCGAAAGCGUGGGGAGCAAACA